CACGUAGGGUGCGAGCGUUGUCCGGAAUUACUGGGCGUAAAGGGCUCGUAGGCGGCCAACUAGGUCAGACGUGAAAUCCCUCGGCUUAACCGGGGAACUGCGUCUGAUACUGGUUGGCUUGAAUCCGGGAGAGGGAUGUGGAAUUCCAGGUGUAGCGGUGAAAUGCGUAGAUAUCUGGAGGAACACCGGUGGCGAAGGCGGCAUCCUGGACCGGUAUUGACGCUGAGGAGCGAAAGCCAGGGGAGCAAACGGG
rnacentral:rRNA from 1 species